rnacentral:rRNA from 1 species
CGGCGUGCCUAACACAUGCAAGUCGAACGAAGCGUCCUGCGUUGAUCUUCGGAUGAAACAAGGGAAGACUUAGUGGCGGACGGGUGAGUAACGCGUGAGCAACCUGCCUUUCAGAGGGGGAUAACAGUUGGAAACGACUGCUAAUACCGCAUAACGUAUUGAUGUCGCAUGGCAUUGAUACCAAAGCUGAGGCGCUGAGAGAUGGGCUCGCGUCCGAUUAGAUAGUUGGUGGGGUAACGGCCUACCAAGUCGACGAUCGGUAGCCGGACUGAGAGGUUGAACGGCCACAUUGGGACUGAGACACGGCCCAGACUCCUACGGGAGGCAGCAGUGGGGGAUAUUGCACAAUGGGCGAAAAAGCCUGAUGCAGCAACGCCGCGUGAGGGAAGACGGUUUUCGGAUUGUAAACCUCUGUCUUUGGUGAAGAAGGAAGUGACGGUAACCAAGGAGGAAGCCACGGCUAACUACGUGCCAGCCGCCGC